GACGAACGCUGGCGGCGUGCUUAACACACGCAAGUCGAGCGAGGCCCCUUCUUCGGGAGGGUGUCCUAGCGGCGAACGGGUGAGUAACACGUGGGCAACCUGCCCCCGGCUCUGGGAUAACUCCAAGAAAUUGGGGCUAAUACCGGAUAUGACCGCUGACCGCAUGGUCUGGUGGUGGAAAGAUUUAUCGGCUGGGGAUGGGCCCGCGGCCUAUCAGCUUGUUGGUGGGGUAGUGGCCUACCAAGGCGACGACGGGUAGCCGGCCUGAGAGGGUGACCGGCCACACUGGGACUGAGACACGGCCCAGACUCCUACGGGAGGCAGCAGUGGGGAAUAUUGCGCAAUGGGCGAAAGCCUGACGCAGCGACGCCGCGUGGGGGAUGACGGCCUUCGGGUUGUAAACCUCUUUCAGCAGGGACGAAGCGCAAGUGACGGUACCUGCAGAAGAAGCACCGGCCAACUACGUGCCAGUAGCCGCGGUAAUAC
rnacentral:rRNA from 1 species